GCGAAGGAAAAGGUGAAGCUGCCAGCAUGAUCUACCUCUGGUCUGCUAGCUUGAAAAGACAAAAGCGUAAAGAUAAAGAGAUUGAUUCAUACCAAUUUCUUUUUUCUUCAUCCAUUGGUAACCCUAGUUAGGUCAUGCUCUGACAGCCUCACUCCUUCCUACU
rnacentral:pre_miRNA from 2 species